UACGUAGGGCGCAAGCGUUGUCCGGAAUUAUUGGGCGUAAAGAGCUCGUAGGCGGCUUGUCACGUCGGGUGUGAAAGCCCGGGGCUUAACCCCGGGUCUGCAUUCGAUACGGGCUGGCUGGAGUGUGGUAGGGGAGAUCGGAAUUCCUGGUGUAGCGGUGAAAUGCGCAGAUAUCAGGAGGAACACCGGUGGCGAAGGCGGGUCUCUGGGCCGAUAUUGACGCUGAGGAGCGAAAGCGUGGGGAGCAAACAGG
rnacentral:rRNA from 1 species